rnacentral:rRNA from 1 species
UACAGAGGGUGCGAGCGUUGUUCGGAAUUAUUGGGCGUAAAGGGCGCGUAGGCGGUGCGGUAAGUCUGUAGUGAAAUCUCUGGGCUCAACUCAUAGUCUGCAUCGGAAACUGCCGGGCUUGAGUGUGGGAGAGGUGAGUGGAAUUCCUGGUGUAGCGGUGAAAUGCGUAGAUAUCAGGAGGAACACCUGUGGCGAAAGCGGCUCACUGGACCAUAACUGACGCUGAUGCACGAAAGCUAGGGGAGCAAACAGG